rnacentral:rRNA from 1 species
AGUGAACGCUGGCGGCAGGCCUAACACAUGCAAGUCGAACGCCCGGCCAGUAAGAGCUUGCUCUUGCGGGUGGCGCGUGGCAGCCGGGUGAGGAAUACGUAGGAAUCUACUUUUUCGUGGGGGAUAACGUAGGGAAACUUACGCUAAUAACACAUACGACCUAAGGGUGAAAGCAGGGCAUCUUCGCACCUUGCGCGAUUGAAUGAGCACAAGUCGGAUUAGCUAGAUGGCGGGGUAGAGGCCCAACAAGGCGACGAUCCGUAGCUGACCCGAGAGGAUGAUCCGCUAGACUGGAAGUGAGAAACGGUCCAGACACCUAGGGGGGGCAGCAGUGGGGAAUAUUACGGGAUGGGGGCGUGCCUGAUCCAGGCAUACCGCGGGAGUCAUGAUGGCCUUCGGGUUGGAGAGCCCUGUUGGUGGUAAAGAAAAGCAGCACGUUUAUACGCCACGGUACUGACGGUACCCAAAGAAUAAGCACCGGCUAACUUCGUG